rnacentral:misc_RNA from 1 species
GAUGAAGAACGUAGCGAAAUGCGAUACGUAAUGUGAAUUGCAGAAUUCAGUGAAUCAUCGAAUCUUUGAACGCAUAUUGCGCUCUUUGGUAUUCCGAAGAGCAUGCUUGUUUGAGUAACAGUAAACACCUCAAAGCUUUUGGAUUUUUUAAUCGAAAAGCUUUGGACUUGAGCAAUCCCAACACCAAUCUUUUUGAGAUCGGUGGCGGGUUGCUUGAAAUGCAGGUGCAGCUGGACAUUCUCCUGAGCUAAAAGCAUAUUCAUUUAGUCCCGUCAAACGGAUUAUUACUUUUGCUGCAGCUAACAUAAAGGGAGUUUGACCGUAUUGGCUGACUGAUGCAGGAUUUCACAAGGGUCGGCAACGAUUCUUGUUAAACUCGAUCUCAAAUCAAGUAAGACUACCCGCUGAACUUAAGCAUAUCAAUAAGCGGAGGA